rnacentral:rRNA from 1 species
CUUUCCUUGAUGACGACUGGCGCACGGGUGAGUAACGCGUAUCCAACCUUCCCAUAACUACGGGAUAACCCGUUGAAAGACGGCCUAAUACCGUAUGACAUCGUUUGCUGACAUCAAAUAACGAUUAAAGGUUUAGCGGUUAUGGAUGGGGAUGCGUCUGAUUAGCUUGUUGGCGGGGUAACGGCCCACCAAGGCAACGAUCAGUAGGGGUUCUGAGAGGAAGGUCCCCCACAUUGGAACUGAGACACGGUCCAAACUCCUACGGGAGGCAGCAGUU